GGAGGUGGUGGAGGGAACAGCUGCUCCCCACACAGAAGCCGGUUUCCCAGCCUCACAGGUAGCGCGAGGCAGGCUGUUUUCCCCGGGGCCCUCGGGCUGCUUCGCCAGCCUCCGCAGCUCCGGAGAUUUUUAUAGCUUGGCCGAACGCGAAACGGACCAGAACAAGUCGGAUUCUUUCCUUCACAAGGCCCGACGCUCGUGCUUCUCUCACAAAAACUCACAAGCAGAUAUGGAUACGUCUCCACUAAAGCUCCAUCAGGUUUCUGUCGGCCGACGGGACUCCAGUGGAACCUGCAGACGCUCCGAGAGGAAGAGCUUUUAACCUGACCGGCACAGACGGACGCAGGUGCUCCAUUUACCUGCACCAAAAGACUGAGUGUGGAGAGCUCAUGAUGUUGAUUUCAGCUUCAGUUUUUCGCCUUACAGCAAGAAGGUCGCUGGUUCAAGCCUCAGCUGGAUCAUUUGACGUUUCUGUGUGGAGUUUGCAUGUUCUCCCCGUGUUGGCGUGGGUUUCCUGCGGAUGCUCCGGUUUCCCCUACAAGUCCAAAGCAAUGUGGUACAGCUCUUGGAAGUCUCAGCGCAAGGCCUCUUUGUUGUUGUGAACUCAAUGGACUCUCCUGAGUCUGCAGGCCUGGAAAACAGAUCCGGUCCCACACACACACAAAGGAAACUUUGAUUCAAGGAGUCACAACCCAGCUCUUGAAUCCUGGAGUUGGGAGGAAAGCGAGGCAGGAGGAGAGAUGUUGACUGUGGCUUUCUGCUUCAUGAUGUGGUGAACUCUUUAACCUGAGAGUCUGAAUCAUCACCACACAUCAGCUGAACAGGCCUGUCUGCCAAGUGAUUUGAUCGGAUGUAAAAGUGUGAUGUUUCUCCUUGAUGAAGUGAUGAUGGUGUGGACUGGAUGAUGGUGUCUGCCGUCUCUCAGCGGCUCAGCGGUGCUGCUCUUCUGUUGGAGCUCCAGCACAAACACCCGUGCAGCUGCAUGUCAGACAUGACAGAAGAAGCAGCCAGAACAUGAGCACGCCGACAGAUGGAGCCGCCCGACUGUGGAGAGUCCCGUCCACAGGACAGCUGGGGGAUCAACUCCAUCAUGGGCUGUUGAGGAACAGGAGCAACGUAAAAACAGACACAAACAUGGCGAGAUCUGGGUGAUCUUUAAAAAUCUGAUAACACAAUCUCAUAGUACUUUAUAGGAAUAGUUCAUCCAAAUAUUAAAAAUUGCUCAUUAUUUUCACAAUUUCACCUAUUAUUAUUUAUUUUUUUCAAACCAAACCUGGCUAGCGUGAACACUUAGAAAACAUUAAAUGGAUAGUUCACCCCAA